rnacentral:rRNA from 1 species
UGAUCCUGGCUCAGAUUGAACGCUGGCGGCAGGCCUAACACAUGCAAGUCGAACGGUAACAUUUAUAGCUUGCUAUAAGAUGACGAGUGGCGGACGGGUGAGUAAUGCUUAGGAACUUGCCUUUUGGUGGGGGAUAACAGUUGGAAACGACUGCUAAUACCGCAUAAUGUCUUUGGACCAAAGGGGGCUUCGGCUCUCACCAAGAGAGAGGCCUAAGUGAGAUUAGUUAGUUGGUGGGGUAAAGGCUUACCAAGACGACGAUCUCUAGCUGUUCUGAGAGGAAGAUCAGCCACACUGGGACUGAGACACGGCCCAGACUCCUACGGGAGGCAGCAGUGGGGAAUAUUGCACAAUGGGGGGAACCCUGAUGCAGCCAUGCCGCGUGUGUGAAGAAGGCCUUCGGGUUGUAAAGCACUUUCAGUUGUGAGGAAAGGUUGGUAGUUAAUACCUGCCAGCUGUGACGUUAACAACAGAAGAAGCACCGGCUAACUCCGUGCCAGCAGCCGCGGUAAUACGGAGGGUGCGAGCGUUAAUCGGAAUUACUGGGCGUAAAGCGCACGCAGGCGGUUUGUUAAGCGAGAUGUGAAAGCCCCGGGCUCAACCUGGGAGGGUCAUUUCGAACUGGCAGACUAGAGUUUUGGAGAGGGGAGUGGAAUUCCAGGUGUAGCGGUGAAAUGCGUAGAUAUCUGGAGGAACAUCAGUGGCGAAGGCGACUCCCUGGUCAAAGACUGACGCUCAUGUACGAAAGUGUGGGUAGCGAACAGGAUUAGAUACCCUGGUAGU